rnacentral:rRNA from 1 species
UACAGAGGGUGCGAGCGUUAAUCGGAAUUACUGGGCGUAAAGCGAGUGUAGGUGGCUCAUUAAGUCACAUGUGAAAUCCCCGGGCUUAACCUGGGAACUGCAUGUGAUACUGGUGGUGCUAGAAUAUGUGGGAGGGAAGUAGAAUUCCAGGUGUAGCGGUGAAAUGCGUAGAGAUCUGGAGGAAUACCGAUGGCGAAGGCAGCUUCCUGGCAUAAUAUUGACACUGAGAUUCGAAAGCGUGGGUAGCAAACAG